rnacentral:misc_RNA from 1 species
CGCACAUUGCGCCCUUCGGUAUUCCGUUGGGCAUGCCUGUUCGAGCGUCAUUUCAAACCUUCAAGCCCUGCUUGGUGUUGGGUGUCUGUUCUGCCUCGGUGCACGAACUCGCCUCGAAUCUAUAGGCGGUUGGUGGAUUGGAUCCUGUGUGCAGCACAUUGCACGGCAGCUCCAGCCCAGCUCCCUCCAUCGAGCAUCUCCAGUGUUUGACCUCGGAUCAGGUAGGGAUACCCGCUGAACUUAA